rnacentral:rRNA from 1 species
AUUGAACGCUGGCGGUAUGCUGUACACAUGCAAGGCGAGCGGCUGCACGGGGGCAACCCUGGUGGUGAGCAGCGAACGGGUGAGUAAUACAUCGGAACAGGCCCAGUAGUGGGGGAUAACACUUCGAAAGAAGUGCUAAUACCGCAUACGUCCUGAGGGGGAAAGCGGGGGAUCGCAAGACCCCGCGCGAUUGGAGUGACCGAUGUCAGAUUAGCUAGUUGGUGGGGUAAAGGCCUACCAAGGCAACGAUCUGUAGCUGGUCUGAGAGGAUGAUCAGCCAAACUGGGAGUGCGACACGGCCGAGACUCCUACGGGCUGCAGCAGUGCGGACUUUUGGACCAUGGGGGCAACCCUGAUCAGGCCACUCCGCCUGACUGCAGAUGGCCUUCCGGUUGUAAGACUCUUCUGGCAGGACCGAAACGCUGAGCUCUAAUCUAGCCUGAUAAUGACGUCACCAGCAGAAGAACCACCGCCUCACUACGUC